UGACAAUGAAUAUAGUUUUUAGAAAGGGUUGAAUAUUGUCUUAGUUUAUACUUGAUUCUUGUGUUAGUUCCUCUUGAUUGAGAUUCUUUAAACCAUGAGCACUAAUAUCAAUUCUUUCGUAAUUUUGACUUGAAAUUUGAUAUUGACGCAGCCUGAGUUGAGAAUUUUAGAUAGAGUAAAUGACUGUUUGUCUUGAUUCUUAUCUCCACAAUACAAAAUAAUAUACACGGGCACCAAAGUCAGAAAUAGCUACCUAUAACCCUUAAGAGUGGAGCUAUCCUUGAGUAAUUUGGGCCUAUGUACCACAAGUAUGUAGAGGAUAAUCUACCAUGAGAAGAAGGCUACCUUAAGGGGUAGAGUGAAAGCUCCUGACUAUGGUUGAAAAAAAAAAAAAGAGAAGAAAAAAAAAUCAAGUGCAUGUGCUGAAAAAAAAAAUCAAAAGAAAAUGCACAUAAAAGCCUGUGAGAGAAAAAAAAUUGGAGAUCAAGAUGAUAAGAUUAGUUUGACCUACUAUGUUCUUUGUUUGAGGCGAAGGCUGUUGAUGUUGAGGAUUUUGGGAAUGGAUUUGAUUGAAUUGAUUUCACACACACACUACAAGAAUCGAAAGAGAGGUGGGAUUGACUAUUGAAUUAAAGUUAGAACUUUGCUAAUAUUUAAAAUUUUCUUUGAGCUAUAUAAUUUUUUGCAAUCUUUG
rnacentral:lncRNA from 1 species